rnacentral:rRNA from 1 species
AGUGAACGCUGGCGGUAGGCCUAACACAUGCAAGUCGAACGGCAGCACAGUAAGAGCUUGCUCUUACGGGUGGCGAGUGGCGGACGGGUGAGGAAUACAUCGGAAUCUACUUUUUCGUGGGGGAUAACGUAGGGAAACUUACGCUAAUACCGCAUACGACCUACGGGUGAAAGCAGGGGAUCUUCGGACCUUGCGCGAUUGAAUGAGCCGAUGUCGGAUUAGCUAGUUGGCGGGGUAAAGGCCCACCAAGGCGACGAUCCGUAGCUGGUCUGAGAGGAUGAUCAGCCACACUGGAACUGAGACACGGUCCAGACUCCUACGGGAGGCAGCAGUGAGGAAUAUUGGACAAUGGGCGCAAGCCUGAUCCAGCCAUACCGCGUGGGUGAAGAAGGCCUUCGGGUUGUAAAGCCCCUUUGUUGGGAAAGAAAAGCAGCAGGUUAAUACCCCGCUGUUCUGACGGUACCCAAAGAAUAAGCACCGGCUAACUUCGUG